rnacentral:rRNA from 1 species
UGGGGAAUAUUGCGCAAUGGCCGAAAGGCUGACGCAGCGACGCCGCGUGGGGGAUGAAGCAUUUCGGUGUGUAAACCCCUGUUGCUCGGGACGAACAACCUGUUUCGACAGGUCUGACGGUACCGGGUGAGGAAGCACCGGCUAACUCCGUGCCAGCAGCCGCGGUAAUACGGAGGGUGCGAGCGUUGUCCGGAAUCACUGGGCGUAAAGGGCGCGUAGGCGGUCUGUUAAGCGUGCGGUGAAAGCCCGGGGCUCAACCCCGGGUCUGCCGUGCGAACUGGCGGACUAGAGCACUGUAGAGGCAGGUGGAAUUCCGGGUGUAGCGGUGGAAUGCGUAGAGAUCCGGAAGAACACCGGUGGCGAAGGCGGCCUGCUGGGCAGUUGCUGACGCUGAGGCGCGACAGCGUGGGGAGCAAACA